rnacentral:rRNA from 1 species
CUGAGUAGCAUGGACUAGGAGCGGGGGGGAUACGUAGGGUGUGGGGGUUUAGCCGAUUUGGGGGGCGGAAGGGGUGGUGAGGGGGCUAAGUACGUCAAAUGGUAAAGCGCCGAGGGAAACUUGGGAAUUGAAUUCGAGACAGGUGGGAUAGGGGAUGGGAGAGGAGGGUGGAAGUCCAGGUGUAGCGGUGAAAUGCGUAGAGAUCUGGAGGAAGACCGAUGGCGAAGGCAGCCAUCUGGCCUAAUACUGACACUGAGGUGCGAAAGCAUGGGGAGCAAACAGGAUUAGAUACCCCUGUAGC